UUCGAGCUGAACUCAAUUCCUUUAAUAAUGAUCCGCUCGGCAGAUUGCAGGCGAAGCGUUAACGUCGACGAACCUCUUCUCUAUCUCUCGUUUCUACAAUCUCCUGGAUCAGUCUAUAGAACCAAGGAGAUCUUACGAAACUGUAUACGACAAGUGACGGAGCAAAAGCAUGGAACGAUACGCAGGUAUAAACGGUGCAUAACUGUUCCUCGUACAAGUGGUUUACUUCAAAAGAGACGUAAGUUCGAGGAGGGAUUGAAGAUGUAAUUGAAAGAGCUACAAUCGCAUUAACAUGGUUUAGAAUUCGACUCGGACCAGAAUCAUAUUCGAUUUAUUCUAUUCGAGAUAUGGGUUAUUUCACAGACUACAUGUACACAUAAUAUAAGAAGAGAUCAUGAGAGAUUUCAGGAGACAUAUUCAUUGUCAGCAGCGACACGCCGAUGAUAUCACUCAGAAAUCAAGCGGUUAUCGAAUCGUGGGAACAAUUAACGCGCGAUAUGGUUCGCCUUACAAAGGAUCGCGUGAGAUCCUUCUUCGGCCGGUGCUGCCUCCUCCUUUCCGACUUCCGUUCGCGUACGGCAAACGAGUUUUACAUUCCGACGCGUCCAAAGGGUUUCACGCGGCGCGAUUAUCUUCGCUCGGGUCGGGUAUCGAGUUUGCAUCGCCGAGUGAAUCAUGAGAGAGAACAGGGAGUUGAAUAAAAGUGCCAAUAAUACAUCGUU